rnacentral:rRNA from 1 species
CGGAGAGUUUGAUCCUGGCUCAGGACGAACGCUGGCGGCAUGCCUAAUACAUGCAAGUCGAACGAACUUUCCCGAUGAUUGAAGCUUGCUUCAUGAAUCGGAUCUAAGUGAGUGGCGGACGGGUGAGUAACACGUGGGUAACCUGCCCAAAAGUGGGGGAUAACAUUUGGAAACAAGUGCUAAUACCGCAUAACAACUACUUUCACAUGAUCGUAGUUUAAAAGAUGGCUCUGCUAUCGCUUUUGGAUGGACUCGCGGCGUAUUAGCUAGUUGGUGAGGUAAAGGCUCACCAAGGCAAUGAUACGUAGCCGACCUGAGAGGGUAAUCGGCCACAUUGGGACUGAGACACGGCCCAAACUCCUACGGGAGGCAGCAGUAGGGAAUCUUCCACAAUGGGCGAAAGCCUGAUGGAGCAAUGCCGCGUGAGUGAAGAAGGUUUUCGGAUCGUAAAACUCUGUUGUUGAAGAAGAACAUGCGUGAGAGUAACUGUUCACGUACUGACGGUAUUCAACCAGAAAGCCACGGCUAACUACGUGCCAGCAGCCGCGGUAAUACGUAGGUGGCAAGCGUUGUCCGGAUUUAUUGGGCGUAAAGAGAAUGUAGGCGGUUUAUUAAGUUUGAAGUGAAAGCCCUCGGCUCAACCGAGGAAGUGCUUCGAAAACUGGUAAACUUGAGUGCAGAGGAGGAAAGUGGAACUCCAUGUGUAGCGGUGGAAUGCGUAGAUAUAUGGAAGAACACCAGUGGCGAAGGCGGCUUUCUGGUCUGUAACUGACGCUGAGAUUCGAAAGCAUGGGUAGCAAACAGGAUUAGAUACCCUGGUAGUCCAUGCCGUAAACGAUGAGUGCUAAGUGUUGGAGG